GGCCGCAAGGUUAAAACUCAAAUGAAUUGACGGGGGCCCGCACAAGCGGUGGAGCAUGUGGUUUAAUUCGAUGCAACGCGAAGAACCUUACCUACUCUUGACAUCCAGAGAAUUUAGCAGAGAUGCUUUAGUGCCUUCGGGAACUCUGAGACAGGUGCUGCAUGGCUGUCGUCAGCUCGUGUUGUGAAAUGUUGGGUUAAGUCCCGCAACGAGCGCAACCCUUAUCCUUUGUUGCCAGCGAUUCGGUCGGGAACUC
rnacentral:rRNA from 1 species